rnacentral:lncRNA from 7 species
CCAGAGAUCGGCCGGUCUCGGUUCACCCCAGGGGCUCCUGGAACAUCAAUCUAUGGGAGGUGAAAACUGGCGGAGGUUUCCUGUUUCAUUAACUGUAGAGGAGGGAGAACAGCACAUUGUCAUAUCUAUGUUCAUGUAAUUAUGUGUCAUAUCUCUGUUUAUGUACUCGCAUGGGACUAAAAGGCUUCGAUGAUUGUCGUUGUAUAUGCCUGGGGAUCAAGAAAAACCACGAAUGAAUUUUCUGCAUCAAAACUAUGAAUUGGCGAAAGCAUCUUAAUUUGAUCAAAACUAUAGAGAGAAUUAUAAAGAUUUAUGACAUCGAAUAGUUAUGCUAUGAAAAUGUAACUGAUGAAGAAAUCCAAUGAUACUUAUUUGGUAUGGUAAAUUGUCAUUGUUUUAUUAUAUAAAUUUUGGUCAAGAAGUUGGAACGACUUAUAAUUUUGAACGGACAGAUGGAGCACUAAUGUUGUGCUAUCCUCAUUUUUUCAUGGUCCGCAAAUAUGUCAAGUCUCUGUUAUGAAUCGUCAUAGUACCAUUUUGGUCUAACUUCUUUUCUACCCCUGCUUCUCCACUGCAGCCAUGUAUAAC